rnacentral:rRNA from 1 species
GAUGAACGCUGGCGGCGUGCCUAAUACAUGCAAGUCGAGCGAACAGACGAGGAGCUUGCUCCUCUGACGUUAGCGGCGGACGGGUGAGUAAAACGUGGAUAACCUACCUAUAAGACUGGGAUAACUUCGGGAAACCGGAGCUAAUACCGGAUAAUAUAUUGAACCGCAUGGUUCAAUAGUGAAAGACGGUUUUGCCGUCACUUAUAGAUGGAUCCGCGCCGCAUUAGCUAGUUGGUAAGGUAACGGCUUACCAAGGCAACGAUGCGUAGCCGACCUGAGAGGGUGAUCGGCGACGCUGGAACUGAGACACGGUCCAGACUCCUACGGGAGGCAGCAGUAGGGAAUCUUCCGCAAUGGGCGAAAUCUUGACGGAGCGACGCCGCGUGAGUGAUGAAGGUCUUCGGAUCGUAAAACUCUGUUAUUAGGGAAGAACAAAUGUGUAAGUAACUAUGCACGUCUUGACGGUACCUAAUCAGAAAGCCGCGGCUAACUACGUG